GUUUUAAUAGUUUAAAUAAAACAAUGAUUUUGUAAAUCAUAGAUAGAUAGAACUUUAAAACA
rnacentral:tRNA from 1 species